UGACUCGAGCCUUUCUUCUUUCGCCAUGUGCAGUACUCCGGCCAUAGAGCAUGAGGUCAAACUAAGCUGCACCUCCCCACCACCACACGCACACCACACGCACACCACACACACACACACACACCAGCCCUGUCACAGGCCCCCAUCCGCGUCGUGCGAAGCAGCCGAACACGCACACACACACACGUUACAGCGAUGCGCCUACUCAUUCAUCGGAGCAUCGCCUCGGACUCAGACUCCGCCCACCAUCCCCGCCUCGCAGGUCGCCGCACAGCCACUCCCAUUGUGCCGGUCGCCACGCGGUGCCGCCAUCGGGGUGGCCCAGGCUCCCCACCACCCCACCGGCAGGGCAGUGUGAGGGCCUGGUGAGGUAGGUGCGGGUCAGGCUGGCGCAUUGCCCAUCCCAUGGAUGGCGCACACGUCUGCACUGUCGCGGCUCGCUCUGGCCCCUCCUUGCGCCGUGGGGUGCUUGACCCUGUCUGCGCCAGAGGUGGUCUGGCAUCGGCAGGGACAUAAGGGGCUGCUUGGCUUCCCGACACAGAGAGCGGGUGUGCUGGACCCUGAGGUACGAAGCACUGAGCGGUGCCCUCACUCAAUCGUGAGGGUGGACUCCAGCUGCCUGAAAAGCGGAACAGAAAUGAGCAAUGCGGGCUGUACAACCUUCUCUGCUCACCCUGUUUCUCGAUAGCCCGUCACGUUGAGCUGCUUUUGUGCUUACUUCCCCCUCCCUCCUGCGUGUUGUUUCUCUCGUCCGCUUCGCUUGCUCUCUCGUCUUCGCCGUCCUUUACCAAACACGCACGUGAGCGUGAGGGUGCAUCAUACGCGCGUGAGAGAGUGUUUCGGGGAUGCAGUGGCGCAUGCCAUACACCCACACCCAUACUGCAGUGUGGAUUCGUUCAGCGGGUGUGCACCGCCAGAUCUCCAGACUUGUGUGCACGUGAGUGCCUACGCGAUGAAGGGGAAGGAGAGGCCUUCCUGCCAAGUAGAAGGACUGCAUCAAAGCCGGCCAAAAUGCCUGAAAAC
rnacentral:misc_RNA from 1 species